rnacentral:rRNA from 1 species
AUGAAGCUCGACGAGUCUUUCGUGGAAGGAAUCGAGGGUAUGCAGAUCGACGAGUCUUCCGCGCAUGAAAACGAGGAUAUGGAGAGCGAGGAUGAAGAAGACGCCAAUGAAGAUGCCAUCUUGCCCGCCUCCCUGUGUCCACCUGCUCAUGGACAAGACGGCGAUUCAUGCGGCAGCUUCGUCCUCCUUGACGGCCUACUUCGCCGACCGCUCCAACGCCACCACCGCAUCCUGCAAGAUGAGGGAUGGCAAGGGGUUCAUCCAUGUCACCUUCUGCACCGCCGCCCCACCGCUCGUAUCCUAUUUCUGCGUCCACUUCACCGGGGGUUUGAAGCUCUCCCAUUUCGCGUCGGAGCCUGA